rnacentral:rRNA from 1 species
UGGGGAAUAUUGGACAAUGGAGGAAACUCUGAUCCAGCAAUUCUGUGUGUGUGAAGAAGGUUUUAGGACUGUAAAACACUUUUAGUAGGGAAGAAAAAAAUGACGGUACCUACAGAAGAAGCAACGGCUAAAUACGUGCCAGAAGCCGCGGUAAUACGUAUGGGGCGAGCGUUGUCCGGAAUUAUUGGGCGUAAAGGGUACGUAGGCGGUCUAUUAAGUCAGGUGUGAAAGCGUGAGGCUUAACCUCAUUAAGCACUUGAAACUGAUAGACUUGAGUGAAGGAGAGGAAAGUGGAAUUCCUAGUGUAGCGGUGAAAUGCGUAGAUAUUAGGAGGAAUACCGGUGGCGAAGGCGACUUUCUGGACUUUUACUGACGCUCAGGUACGAAAGCGUGGGGAGCAAACAGG